rnacentral:lncRNA from 1 species
GGAGGAGUUUGGUGCACACAACACGAUGGUGAGAGGCUCUCUAUACACACAUAGUUUUCUGUCUGUGGAACAGUUUGGUUACCUCCGUGCGUUGUGUGUUGACGUCGAUGGUGAUGCAGAACGGAGCGAUCAAGGUGGGAGCAUGGGGAGGGAACGGAGGGUCGGCCUUCGACAUGGGACCUGCUCAUCGGAUCAUCAGCGUCAAGAUUUUUUCCGGAGACGUGGUCGACGCCGUGGACGUCACCUUCACCUCCUACGGGAAGACGGAGACCCGACACUUCGGUGGCAGCGGUGGUACUCCCCACGAGGUUUGCAUCACUACCAAUCUCAAAGCUCAUAGAUGACUGUAGAUUAAUGGCUUCUACUUGGAUGCAGAUUGUUCUGCAGGAGGGCGAGUAUCUGGUGGGAAUGACGGGAGAAUUUGGUAACUACCAUGGAGUGGUGGUGUUGGGGAAGCUUGGCUUCCGCACCAACAAGAAAUCCUACGGACCUUUCGGCAACACGGGAGGGACUCCCUUCUCCCUUCCUAUAGCAGCAGGCAAGAUCUCGGGCUUCUUCGGCCGUGGCGGCGAUUUUCUUGACGCCAUUGGGGUCUACUUGGAGCCAUAAUUGGACACUGCAGUAAAUCACAAGAGUUGCUAUGUGCAACUUCGAGUGAUGAGAUGAACGAUGUCUGCAAUAAAUGGAUCGGUGUUUGCCAUCCCCAGUUGUUGUUGGAUGUCGCUUGGAAUAAUAAUGAUAUGGUGUGUUAUCAUCAGAGCAAUUGCAUCACUGAUUGGUUUGAGACUUCAGCCUUUAGGAUCGCAUAAAUAAAUAAACGAAAGCAAAUUAAUUUGUUGUAGAUAGUAAUUGGAGUAAUAAUUUUGGCGGUAAUGUUUGAUAGUAUUAUAUGAAAUUCUCGAAUAGAUAUUUAUUUUAUUUAAAAUAUUUUUUUAAAUAUCUAUAUGAACAUGCUCUCUAUAUCAAAUUUAAUUUGAUGGAAACAUCUCUAUAUCUAUAUAUAGAUGAUUUAAUUUUUAUAGAUAAUAAUAUUUCCAUGAUCACAUAUCUUAAACACUCUAAGAAGGAGCUUGAGAUUAUCGAUUUGUGCCCAAUUGACUUAUUUCCUUGGGUUCGAAGUUGUAUAAAACAAUAAAAGAAUUUUAAUCUCACAGAAAAAUUAAACAAAGAGAUCUUAAAAAAAAUUUCAAUGGAAAAUUGUCAACUUAUUGAUACACCUGUGAAGUAUAAGACCAAGUUGACUAAGAAAGAUGAAGAGAAAUCAAUUAAUCCAACUAAUGGUAAAAGUCUAGUUAGAUGUUUAAGAUAUUUGAUAUGCACUCAACUCGAUAUAUUAUUUAGAGUUAGUUAAUAAGUAGCUAAAUAGAAGCUCCUAAGACAUCUCAUAUCGCUAAAAAUUUUUACGACAUACUAAAUGAACAAUUAAUUAUGAUCGGGUAGGAAACUACAAUGAUCAUAAGAGUGUAAUCGGAUUUAAUCUUUAUUUUGGUGAAACUACAUUCACAUGCUCUUAAAAAAAAAACUAUUGUUGCACUAUCAAAGUAGAAUAUAUAAUAGUAUUUUCUUAUAUUUAUCAUAUAAUAUGAUUAAAAAUAUUACUUCAAGAACUUCAUGUGUUAUGGGAGAAGUUAAUCAAUAUUUAUAUUGAUAACAAAUCAGCUAUUAUAUUAUUUAUAAACCCAAUCUACUAUAAAAGAUCGAAGCAUACCAACACAAGAUUUUAUUUUAUAAGUGGCCAUUUCGAAAACAAAGAAGUGAAGCUACUUCGACAAUCCAACAAGUGAUUGAUAUACUUAUAAAAUCUCUCAAUAUUUCAAAAACUUUGAUAAAAACUUAUGUUAGAUGAAACAGGUAAGAUACAUUGAAUAAAUCAAAUUGAUUAUUAAUUCUUGUAAGGAGUUUUUUUAAAGAGAGAUUCAUGUUAAAUAUAAUGAAUAUAAUGUAUUUAUGAUGACUAUAUAAAACUCAUGUGUUGGGUUAUAAAAUAUAUAAUUUUUUUAAAAUUAUAAUAAAUUCUUUUUUGAGUAAAUUUACUUUGAGUGAUAGCCCUAUCAUUUCUAUUUAUCUAUUGGCACAAGGGGAGGGAACCGAGGGUCGACGUUUGACAUGAGACCUGCUUAUCGUAUCAUCAGCGUCAAGAUCGGUGCAGGAGGCGUGGUCGACUGCAUGAACGUCACUUUCACCUACUACGGUGGUACUUCCCACGAGGUUUGUAUCACUCUCAAUCUCAAAGCUCAUAGCUGAAUGCAGAUUAAUGGCUUCUACUUGGAUGCAGAUUGUUCUCGAGGAGGACGAGCAUGCGGUGGGAAUGGAGGGAGAGGUUGCUACGUACCAUGGACUGGUGUUCGUAGGAAAGCUUGGUUUCAUCAUCAACAAGAAAGCUUGAUAUUGCCAUUCUUGUAUGUUUCUUGGAAUAAUAAUGAUGUGGUGUGCUUUUAUUAAAGCAAUUGCAUUACUAAUUGGCUCGGUCGGGACUUCAGUCUUUUGCAUGGCAUAAAUAGACCAAAACAAAUUAAGUUGGUGUAGAUAGUGAUUGGGUAUUGGUGUUGAUAGAAAUUGGGCCAUCUAGGAAUAUAAUUCUAAUUCUAUUCAUAUCUGAAAUAUGAUGUUAUCUUUUUAUUAAAUUAUGCUGUCAAUAAUAUAAAUAAUAAAAAAUGGGUAAGUUUGAAAUAUGUCAUUUGCCAAACAAAACAAAAUUAUAUUUGACAGCUGUAAGUAGACCUUAUUUUAAGUUUUUUUAAUAGAAUUUUAUGAUUGAUAUAAUUUAAUAUGAGUCUAAUAUGAAUUGACAAAAUAAAAAAAAAAAAUCUAAUUUUAUCUUUUAAUCUCACAUUUAUUUUAAUAUUCCUCUCAUUUUUAUCUUUGCUUAAUUAUCUACUAUCCCAACUAUGCAUAACUAAAUCGAUUUAUUUUCCUUCACAUGUUUGGUCCUCAACUUCAUUUAUUUUAAACACAAUUAAACUUAUUUAAGUCUUGAGAAUUAUUUAAGGUAUAUUAUAAUAAGAAAGUCUCUUCUGAUUAUUAUAUCUAUACUUAUUGUCAUAAUUUAACCUCAAGUUACUAAUACAUUUACGUUUAUUAUGUUAAAAGACUAUACAUUUUAUUUCUAUAAAAAAAUCUUAAAAAUAGAUAUCAUUGCUUAUAUAUACUUCAACUUAGCAUCUCCAACUUUAUAUGUAAUAUUUGUGAAAGGAUAGAUUUCAAUCUUAAAAGUCAAUAAUAUAUGAGUAUAUUAUAUUAUAAAACAUAAAUAUCUCUUUGGAUAAUCACCAAGUUGUAGUUCUCUGUGUAAAACUUGAGCACUACAAGACAAUAUUCUAGAUGUGCCUUUGGAUAUUGUAUUGGGUUACUUCAGCAUUUGGCUCCGCAAUAGUGUCAUAUGGAUAUUUAUGCAAAUUUCGAAGGUGAUAUAUUACAUUGGAUUUUUUGUUAUGUGAUCAUUUGUAACUUGUAAAAUUCAUUAUUGUAUUAUUCAUUGUCCGUCGAGUAUUUGUUGAGAUAUCAAUUUAUGGAAUCCUGAGUUUAAUACUUUUAUUAAUUUAUUUUUUUAUAAAUUCUUAAAGAAUCCUACAUAUGAUUUAGAUAAAAUCAAAUAAAUCGUAUUCAGACUUGGCAUGUAAGCACCAACAUUGAAGAAAAUAAAUAAAAAUAUUUAAAUAUAUAUUUAUGAAGAAUAAAAUAAAAUUUUGUAUUACUUAAUCAUAUCCUACAGAUCUACGAUCUUCACCAUCAAACCAGAAAAAAAAAAACCGGCAUAUCUCUCUAACGUAGCCGUCGCAUUGGCCAGGCGGAUGUAUAUAAACCGGCAUGUCUCCCAACACGUUUCAAUGUGUCGACCGCCACGCCAUAUCCUUAUCCGUUCCUCUUUAAUUAUUGACCAGACCACCAUCCGUGAUCGUCGCCGGUCACGUCUUCGUCAUCGAGAUGCUCUACACGACCCUCAUCACGUGAUACACGUUUUCCACGAGGAAGCCACGGACGAGGGCGGUACACCUCCACUCCACCCCGACAUCACAGCCAUGGCGAUCCGCUAUAAGUAGCCUCUCUCCCUCUUCCCCAACAUCAUCUUCUGCAGAAGAAAGGGAGGAGUUUGGUGCACACAACACGAUGGUGAGAGGCUCUAUGUAAACACAUAGUUUUCUGUCUGUGGAACAGUUUGGUUACCUCUGUGCGUCGUGUGUUGACGUCGAUGGUGAUGCAGAACGGAGCGAUCAAGGUGGGAGCAUGGGGAGGGAACGGAGGGUCGGCCUUCGACAUGGGACCUGCUUAUCGUAUCAUCAGCGUCAAGAUUUUUUCCGGAGACGUGGUCGACGCCAUGGACGUCACCUUCGCCUACUACGGGAAGACGGAGACCCGACACUUCGGUGGCAGCGGUGGUACUCCCCACGAGGUUUGCAUCACUACCAAUCUCAAAGCUCAUAGCUGACUGCAGAUUAAUGGCUUCUACUUGGAUGCAGAUUGUUCUGCAGGAGGGCGAAUAUCUGGUGGGAAUGGCGGGAGAAUUUGCUAACUACCAUGGAGUGGUGGUGGUGGGGAAGCUUGGCUUCAGCACCAACAAGAAAUCCUACGGACCUUUCGGCAACACGGGAGGGACUCCCUUCUCCCUUCCUAUAGCAGCAGGCAAGAUCUCUGGCUUCUUCGGCCGCGACGGCCAGUUUCUUGACGCCAUUGGGGUCUACUUGGAGCCAUAAUUGGACACUGCAGUAAAUCACAAGAGUUGGUAUGUGCUACUUUGAGUGAUGAGAUGAACAAUGUCUGCAAUAAAUGGAUUGGUGUUUGCCAUCCCCAGCUGUUGUUGGAUGUUGCUUGGAAUAAUAAUGAUAUGGUGUGUUAUUAUCAGAGCAAUUGCAUCACUGAUUGGUUUGAGACUUCAGCCUUUAGGAUCGCAUAAAUAUAUAAACGAAAAUAAAUUAAUUUGAUGUAGAUGGUGAUUGGAGUAAUAAUUUUUAGGGUAGUGUUUUCGGGUUGGUUCGUAGGUUGACUCGACAGUGAUGUUAUAUGAGCACUCAUGGAUAAGGAUUUUUCAGCGUAAUUGACUAGCUUUAAACCGUUUAUCAUGUGAUUAUUCAUAAAAUUAAAAUUUAUAUUUUACAUUAUCUAUCUAAUGUUUAUCGUAAUAUUUAUUUAUGAGAUCUCGAGUUUAAUAUUUUUAUUAAUCUGUUUUCUUUUUUGUAUGUCCCUAGUGGACCUGAUGAGAUUAUGGGAAGACUAACAUUUUUCGAAUGAACACACAAGUGUGUGAUGCAACUUACGUAAAAUCAACUAAAUUGGUGAGUCUCUAAUUAUAUGUAUAACCAUCAACUUAGAAAAAAAAAAUAAAAAGAUCCGAUACAAAUGAGAUAAUAAUAUAUGUAUGAUAGUAAACGGUAAGGGAUCCUUUACUCUAAAAAGAUAACCCUUUACUCUAAAAAGAUAACCCAUUCGAUCAAAGAAUUAUUUAAUCUUUACAUAAAAAAAGAGUUUUGAUCUUUCACUGCAAGUUCUUUGUUACAUCAAAAGUACUAGAAAAUUAGGAUCCCACUAGCAAAUCAGCAUCGUUUCACAAAGUACAGUUUGGGGGCAAAGAUCCAAAUGUCGUACAAGCAGAUGAACAUAAAGAUAUCGGGACUUUGUGUUUUUGGGUCCGACAUGCAAUAACUCAUCAUUGAUUUCACGAGAGCAAGUUAUGGUUCACAUCAAAGGAGGAAAUGGACAUGCUAUCACUUUCAUCUAGAAUGGAGGAAUCACUACAGGAAAUGCCAAGUCAUGAAAAAUAUAGUAGAAAAUAUUUUCUUUGGAGUCAAUUGGAGAUUCAGUAAGACUGAUGCAAGAUUUCGGGUCUGAAUAACACUCGUCGGAGUGUCCCUUCCAAACGAAGAUUUGAAACAUACAAAAUUAGAAGAUUAUUUCUAUUAUAGAAUGGAAAUAUUGUGGAGCUCAGUGGUACAUCAAAUUUGGGCUCAUCAACAUAGUUUAAAUUUGAUCUAUAGUGAUGUAUGUGGUCACAUAUCAACUCAUGUCAUAAGUGGUUACUCCUACUUUAUUACUUUCAUUGAUGAUUUCUCUAGAUACAGAUAUGUAUACUUGAUAAAGUAUACGUCUGAAACCUUCGAGAAAUUUAAGAAGCAUAAGAAUGAAGUAGAGAACUAGAUUAUAAAGAGUAUCAAAACUUUUCGAUCAGAUCGAAGAGGUGAGUACUUGAGUAUAGAGUUCACCUGGUUCCUCAACGACCGUGAGAUUCGAUCUCAAUAGACAUCUCCUUAUAUACCUCAGUUUAAUUGUGUAUAUGAAAGGAGGAAUCACACACUAUUAGACAUGAUAUGGUCCAUAAUGAGUUUCGUUGACCUACUCGUCUCAUUUUAGUAAUAUACUAUAGAGUCUGCAGUUUACCUUAUGAAUAGAGUUCAAACUAAGUCGGUAGUGUCUAUACCAUAUGAGAUAUAGAAAGAAGAAGCUAGAUCUUAAGGUUAUUAAGAUUUGAGGCUACCCUCCCCAUGUUAAAAGAUACAACCCCGACAAGUUGGAAUCUAAGACGGAGAAGUAUAAGUUCGUAGGAUACCCUAAAGAAACUUGUAAGCACUAUUUCAAUUACCCCGAGGACCAAAAGUUCUUUGUAGCUAAGAACGUAGUAUUCUUUUAGAAGAAACACAUUCUUGGUGGAGACAAUGAGAGUAUGAUAGAGUUGAGCGAGGUUGGAGAACCUAGCUCAAGCACCAUUCCAUAACUAGAGUCUAUUCAGUUAUCUAGCACAUAAGUUCCGACUUUACGUAGGCUUGAUUAAAUACCACAUCAUCUUGGGAUAUAUGUGAGAUAUAUCAGAGGAGGGGAUGUUGAGAAUAUUGAUCCUCCGAUAUAUUAGAGAGAUUGUGGCCCGAGGAGAUGCAGUAGUGAAAAAAGUUCAAUCCGAAAAUAAUAUCACAGAUAUACUAACAAAGUCAUUGUCUUAGAUUAUCUUUGAGCAUCAUAGGGGUCUGAUAAGGAUCAGACACGUAGGUAAUUGACUCUAGGUCAAGUGGGAGAUUACUAGUCAUAUAUGUCCCGCAAGUCAAUCAUAUGAGUGAUGACACGUGUAACAUGAUAUAGUCUUUUUGCUUAUUAUUAUUAUUAUUAUUAUUAUUAUUAUUAUUAUAUUUUUUUUACUUUAUAUUGUUUUUUGCAUACAUAUAUUAUGAUAUUCGUGGAUAUAUGCAAUGAGAAUCGAAUCAUGAUGAUAUUACGAUAAUGAGACUGAUUUACUUUUAAACACACAUUAAAUAAUCCCAGUUAUAGGUUACUUGAGAGUGACAUUGAGAUAACCAGAUAGACUAUGUACUAUAUACUCAUACAUAUAAUAGAAGCGAUUAAUCUUAUAGCUAUUCAUGCAGGGGUACUAAGUUACAAUGUAGGUGAUCAUUGGAGAAUGAGUCUACUGAUUACUCCGCUUAUAGAAUGUUGGAUGGUUGAUGAUAUCUCAUUAUCAGACAACGAUUCCGUCAUCUCAGUGAUGUAUCUGAUCCUUAGAUUUAAGACACUAAGGAUGUCCUGUAUGAGUACUGCACUCUUUGAUACCAAACUUAUAGGCCUGAAAGUUUCAGAUCUAGUGCAUCCAAUUAUCGAGAGUGACAGCUAACAUUACGAGGGCUAUUGAGUGUCGAUAGAGGAUCAUCCACUUUCGGUGUUAUGAGAGGAAUAUCUCAUGUGUUCUUGCUCAAGAAAAUCACUAACCAAGGUCAUUCAGAUUAAAAAAGAAAAAGUUCUCCAAAAGAAUUCGAUUAGAGUGAGGCUCAAGUAAAAACCAUAUGAGGCUAAUAGCACCAUACCCAGUAUACGAUCUCUGAAAAAUUAGAUGGAUGAGAGAUUAUAGAUACACGAUAACUAAGGAUAGAUAUGUUCAAAGAAUUGUAUUCCUCUGUAUCGUCUGGGGACUGCAGCGUAGUGGCAUAGUAUAUUUGUAGUCGAUAAGUCGAGUGAAUUAUUAUGGAGAAAAUAAUUCACUGAGCUACAUGGAGUUCUGAUAGGUACGACUCGCGACUAGCUCGAUAUUGAGCCUAGAAGGUUACACACAUAUGGUAAGUGUUGUAAUGAGUGGAGAUUCAGAUUUGAGAUAUCCGCCAAAGCCUAUAUCUUAUUGGAUAUCCAAUAAGCUUCUGAAUUAUUGGAUCCUAUGGAUGAGAUCCAAUAAGAGACAAUGAGAGAUUAUUGGAUAGAGAUCUUAUUGGGAAAUCUAGGGUGACAUCACAUGCGCAGCGGAAGAAUAGAAAAUAAAAUCCUAGAAUUUCUCACAGAAAAUAAGAUUUCAUUAUCGUGUAAAGAUUUAUGCGCAAAAACUCAUGAAACUAAAAACUGCACAUAUAAGAAAGAUGUGUUACCUAGAGAGAUUGUAUAUUUCUAAAAACUUACAGAUCUAUGGAAGAGAAUGAAGGAGGUUAACUAUCCUCCUCUUUGGCGGUGAUCCACAUGACAGGGGUUACGAAGAUGCUCAUCAAAUUGUUGCCCAAAUCUCUUCCUCACGUGCACCACGUAAUCAAAAAGCGGUUGCCCCUUCUUGCUAUACACACGCCCCAAAUAGGGGCUACAGUAUGAGGAGGAGAGAGAGAGGGGAGAAUAGGAGGUGACAGUAAAAAAAAACUCAACCCAUGGCUCUUUGGUUCCCUCCUAUUUAUAUAGGUCCCUUGUUAACUUAACUCAUGUGGAUCUUAUCAUAUUGGGUACUAGAUCUUUAUCAAAUUACUCAAACCUUUUAGAUUAGUGGGUCACUACCAAAUAAUCUCUUAUUGGCUCUAAUUGGAUCUCAUCCAUAGUAUCCAAUAAUUCAGGGGCUUAAUGAAUAUCCAAUAAGAUAGGGACUCCUGUGGACAUCUCAUAUCCUAACCUCUACUCGUCACAACACCUACCAUAUGUGUGAAACCCUUUAGGCCCAAUAUCGAGCUGAUCGGGAGUCAUACAUAUCAUAACUCCUUUUGGCUUAGUGAAUUAUUAUCUCCAUAAUAAUUCACUCGACUCAUCGAAUACGAAUUUAUUAGGCCACUACGCCGUAGCCCUCAGAUGAUAUAGGGGAAUCCAAUCUUUUGGACCUAUCUGUCUUCAGUUAGUAUGUAUUUAUAGUCCAUCGUCCAUAUAAUGCCCCAAAGACCGUAUACCGAUCAUGGUAAUGUUAAGCUCGUACAAUUUCUACUCGAGUCUCACUCUAAUCGAAUUCUCUCGAAGAACUAUUUCUCUCUAAAUCCGAAUGACACUGGCCAAGGAUUUGUUUGAGUAAGAACACAUGAGAUAUUUGUCUUAUGACACUAAGAGUGAAUGAUCCUCUAUUGACACUUAAUAACCCUCGUAAGGUUGGCUACCACUCCCAAGAACCGGUUAUACAAGGUCUGAAACUUAUAGACAUAUAAAUCUGGUAUCAAAGAGUAGAGUACUCAUACAAGACAUCCUUGGUGUCUCAAUUUUAAGGACUAGAUGCACUAUUGGGAUGACGAAAUCACUGUUUAACAAUAAGGCAUCAUCAACCAUCCAGCAUUUUGUGAGCGGAUCAAUCAGUGAACUAAUUCUCUAAUGAGCACUUGUACUGUAUCUUAGUAUCCCCACACGAGCAGCUAUGAGACUAGUUAUCUUCAUCAUAUGAACAGGUAUAUGGUACACUAGUCUGUCCGGUUAUCUCGAUGUCCCUCUCAAGUAACCUAUGAUCGGGAUUAUUAGGGUCUAUAUUUAAAGGUAAAUCGGUCUUAUUAUCAUGAUCUCAUCAUAAUCUAAUUCCUAUUGUACAAAUUCGUGGACGUCACAAUAUACUCAUGCAACAAACAAUAUAAAGUGAUAAAAUAUCAAAUAAUAUAAUAAGUAAAAAGAAUGUGUGUCAUGUCACACAUGUCAUCACUCAUGUGAUUGGCUUGUAGGGCACUUAUAACUAGCAGAUCCACUAAUCUAAGAGGCUUAGAUAAUUGGAUAGAGAUCCAAUAUCCAAUAUGACAAGAUCCGUUAGAGUUGAGUUGACUUAUGGCCUCUAUAAAUAGGAGAGAACUAAAUGACCAUAGGCUAAGCCUUAUUAGUUGCCAUCUUAUAUUAUUCUCUCCCCUUCUCCUCAACCAUUGUGGAGAUUUUGGCAACGAUUACCAUUAGAGAGGAGGAUAGUUGACCUCCUUCAUCAUCUUCCAUAUAUAUGUAGGAAUUCGAGGAUAUACGAUCUCCCUAUGUAACAAAAUCUCAUUUAUACGUAUAGUUUUCGAUUUUACGAGUUUUUACGCGUCAAGCUUCGCAAGAUGACAAACACCUUUUAAGAAAUUUGAGAUUUUUAUUUUUUAUUUCUUCCGUUGCGUAUACGAUGUCGUCCCUAGAUUUCUCUAUAAUAGUAUCGUAUUGACACUUAUGCAUAGGGACUUUGGGAGAUGAUAUGUUAUAUUGGAUUCCUGCAUCAUUUGUAGUUUGUAAAAUUCAUCUUUGUAUUAUGCAUUAUCCGUUACUAAGAUAUUGAAAUCUUGAGUUUAAUGUUUCUAUUAAUUUAUUUUUUUAUAAAUUCUUAAAGGAUCCUACAAGUUAAUCCCUAUUUAUGAAUAUACAAACAUAUGACUUGGAUAAAAUCAAAUAAAAUCAAAAGUCUCUAUUUAUACUUAACAUGUAAGCACCAACAUAGAAGAAAAUAAAUAAUAUAUAUAUAUAUAUAUAUAUAUAUAAAUAUAUAUUUAUGAAGAAUAAAAUAAAAUUUUGUAUUACUUAUUCAUAUCCUACAGAUCUACGAUCUGCACCAUCAAACCAAAAAAAAAAGGGGCAUAUCUCUCCAGCGUAGCCGCGUAUUGACCAACUGGAUGUAUAUAAAUAUAUAUGCAUAUGAUAGAGUGUGUCUGUGUAUAUAUACCCCAUAUAAACUCUCAUGUCUCCCAACACGUUUCCAUGUGUCGACCGCCACGCCAUAUCCUUAUCCGCUCCUCUUUAAUUAUUGACCACACCUCCAUCCGUGAUCGUCGCCGGUCACGUCUUCGUCGUCGAGAGGCUCUACACGACCCUCAUCACGUGAUACACGCUUUCCUCGAGGAAGCCACGGACGACGGGGUGGGCGGUUCACCUCCACUCCACCCCGACAUCAGAGCCAUGGCAAUCCGCUAUAAGUAGCCUCUCUCCCUCUUCCCCAACAUCAUCUUCUGCAGAAGAAAGGGAGGAGUUUGGUUUACACAACACGAUGGUGAGAGGCUCUCUAUACACACAUAGUUUUCUGUCUGUGGAAUAGUUUGGUUACCUCCGUGCGUUGUGUGUUGACGUCGAUGGUGAUGCAGAACGGAGCGAUCAAGGUGGGAGCAUGGGGAGGGAACGGAGGGUCGGCCUUCGACAUGGGACCUGCUUAUCGUAUCAUCAGCGUCAAGGUUUUUUCCGGAGACGUGGUCGACGGCGUGGACGUCACCUUCACCUCCUACGGGAAGACGGAGACCCGACACUUCGGUGGCAGCGGUGGUACUCCCCACGAGGUUUGCAUCACUACCAAUCUCAAAGCUCAUAGCUGACUGCAGAUUAAUGGCUUCUACUUGGAUGCAGAUUG